rnacentral:misc_RNA from 1 species
UCUCCGUUGGUGAACCAGCGGAGGGAUCAUUACAGAGUUUUCACAACUCCCAACCCUUGCGAAACGUACCCAUUCUGUUCUCGUUGCUUCCGGCGGGGGGGACGGGGGGGCCCGAAACGGCCUCCCCGCCCCGCCCGCCGGGGGCGGCGGGCCCUACGAACCUUUAUAUCCUAACCAAAAGAAACAGACUGAGAAAAAAAAAAAAAAAAUGAAAACUUUCAACAACGGAUGUUAUGGCACUGGCAUGGAUGGAGAACGAAGCAGAUCGGAAGAGCACCC